GCAGUCCGGGUGCUGCUACUACCACUGGCUGAUCAACGGGCCCAGUUCAAUCUCACCAAUGACCCCAAUGAGGCCCUUCAUAGCCAAAGGGCCCCAUCACGCUCACCUGUUGGACUUAGUUGUCCACCCUCCUUAGCCUCCCGCAGGCUGGCACAGCUCCUCGACCUUCACCUUCAUGACUCUGACGCUUGUGAAGAUUACAGUCUGGUGGUUUUCUAGAAUGUGCCCCAACCCGAGUCUAUCUGAGGUUGCUCGCUUUCGGCGGGAAUAGCCCCGGGGGGACGCUGUGUGCUUCCCAUGCCCCCCAGCGUCUCAUGCACAGUCCUUCUGUCCCAUUGCCGGGCAUGUUAGCUCGUAACACGUGGCCAGGAUGCUGUCUGCCAGGCUUCUUCCCUGUUAAUUAAGAAGUUUAAUGCACUUACCAAUUUAUAAAUGAUUAAUAUUUUGCGAGGAGGAGAGAGUUCGAGAUUGUGUAAAUAUCCUCUUCCUCAUGAAAACCUCAGCAUCCGUUGGUGAUUCUUCCCUGAAUCAAAUAUUUCUGCAAUGAUUGCAAACUAGUGCUUUUCAGAUUCCAUGACCUCGUCCCUAUUUUUCAGUCGGCAUUCUAUUCUAAGGAAGGGCUUUCUGUUUUUCCCGUGUGUCUAUUCAUUUACUUCUUUUUUUAAAAAAAAGAAAAAAAAAAAAAAAGAAAUCUGUAACACUGAAUAGGCAACAAUUUAUUUCUUGAGACAAAUCUGUUAAGUGUGCAGGAAUAUCUACAAGUUUACUGGGAAACAUGAAUUAGGUACAGUGUUAGCCUGUAACCUCACUUACCACCUCCUGGUUGAGCAACACAGACCUGCUUUACAGAAUGUGACAGUUUUGUGGCAGCUAAAUCCCAGCCACCAGAGUCAGGUGUGCAGCUACUGGGAGAGGUAGUAUCUCAAAAGUAGGCUGUGUUAUUUUGUGAAAAUGGUUUUAGAUUGUAGCCUCUUGCUAGAUCUUGGGCUUUCCUGAAUACGCAAAUGUUUCACGUCAGUGUCAGAUG
rnacentral:lncRNA from 12 species